AGAGUUUGAUCCUGGCUCAGAUUGAACGCUGGCGGCAUGCCUUACACAUGCAAGUCGAACGGCAGCACGGGAGCAAUCCUGGUGGCGAGUGGCGAACGGGUGAGUAAUAUAUCGGAACGUACCUUGGAGUGGGGGAUAACGUAGCGAAAGUUACGCUAAUACCGCAUAUUCUGUGCGCAGGAAAGCAGGGGAUCUUAGGACCUUGUGCUCUUUGAGCGGCCGAUAUCAGAUUAGCUAGUUGGUGAGGUAAAGGCUCACCAAGGCGACGAUCUGUAGCGGGUCUGAGAGGAUGAUCCGCCACACUGGAACUGAGACACGGUCCAGACUCCUACGGGAGGCAGCAGUGGGGAAUUUUGGACAAUGGGGGCAACCCUGAUCCAGCCAUGCCGCGUGAGUGAAGAAGGCCUUCGGGUUGUAAAGCUCUUUCGGCCGGGAAGAAAUCGCAUCGGUUAAUACCCGGUGUGGAUGACGGUACCGGAAUAAGAAGCACCGGCUAACUACGUGCCAGCAGCCGCGGUAAUACGUAGGGUGCGAGCGUUAAUCGGAAUUA
rnacentral:rRNA from 1 species